rnacentral:rRNA from 1 species
CCUACGGGCGGCUGCAGUGGGGAAUAUUGGACAAUGGGGGCAACCCUGAUCCAGCCAUGCCGCGUGUGUGAAGAAGGCCCUCGGGUUGUAAAGCACUUUCAGUGAGGAAGAACGCCUGGUGGUUAAUACCCAUCAGGAAAGACAUCACUCACAGAAGAAGCACCGGCUAACUCCGUGCCAGCAGCCGCGGUAAUACGGAGGGUGCGAGCUGUUAAUCGGAAUUACUGGGCGUAAAGCGCGCGUAGGUGGCUUGAUAAGCCGGUUGUGAAAGCCCCGGGCUCAACCUGGGAACGGCAUCCGGAACUGUCAAGCUAGAGUGCAGGAGACGAAGGUAGAAUUCCCGGUGUAGCGGUGAAAUGCGUAGAGAUCGGGAGGAAUACCAGUUGCGAAGGCGGCCUUCUGGACUGACACUGACACUGAGGUGCGAAAGCGUGGGUAGCAAACAGGAUUAGAUACCCUGGUAGUC